UGCAAAUAGCGCUCAGACCUCACGAACGGUAGAGCCAAUAUUUAGCAUACAAAGACUUUGUGUUUCUUUGUCCUGAACACAAGAUGGCGGCCAUGUUUUCUGUUGGGGAAUAGGCGAGUGGGACCUGGCACAAAAACCCCUGGAUCGAGGGACGGGUAGUCUGUGAUACGAAUACCGCUCCAGGGAUGGUUGUCUCAGCCCUUUGUGGACCGAACGCAGACCGCUCUGAAUAAGCAGUUAAUCUGCGGUUAACCGCAGCCUCAACGUUCUAAUCGGGGACACACGCCGGAGUACAGGGAGGUCCUCGUUCAG